UGGGGAAUAUUGCACAAUGGGCGCAAGCCUGAUGCAGCCAUGCCGCGUGUAUGAAGAAGGCCUUCGGGUUGUAAAGUACUUUCAGCGGGGAGGAAGGGAGUAAAGUUAAUACCUUUGCUCAUUGACGUUACCCGCAGAAGAAGCACCGGCUAACUCCGUGCCAGCAGCCGCGGUAAUACGGAGGGUGCAAGCGUUAAUCGGAAUUACUGGGCGUAAAGCGCACGCAGGCGGUUUGUUAAGUCAGAUGUGAAAUCCCCGGGCUCAACCUGGGAACUGCAUCUGAUACUGGGAAGCUUGAGUCUCGUAGAGGGGGGUAGAAUUCCAGGUGUAGCGGUGAAAUGCGUAGAGAUCUGGAGGAAUACCGGUGGCGAAGGCGGCCCCCUGGACGAAGACUGACGCUCAGGUGCGAAAGCGUGGGGAGCAAACAGG
rnacentral:rRNA from 1 species